UACGAAGGGAGCUAGCGUUGUUCGGAAUAACUGGGCGUAAAGGGCGUGUAGGUGGAUGAAUGCGUUAGAUGUGAAAGCCCCGGGCUCAACCUGGGAAUGGCAUUUAAUACGGUUGAUCUAGAGUGCGAGAGGGGAAAGCGGAAUGGCGAGUGGAGCAGUGAAAUGCAUUGAGAUUCGCUAGAACACCGGAGGCGAAGGCGGCUUUCUGGCUCGUAACUGACACUAAGACGCGAAAGCGUGGGGAGCAAACAGG
rnacentral:rRNA from 1 species